rnacentral:rRNA from 1 species
AUUGAACGCUGGCGGCAGGCCUAACACAUGCAAGUCGAACGGUAACAGGAAACAGCUUGCUGUUUCGCUGACGAGUGGCGGACGGGUGAGUAAUGUCUGGGAAACUGCCUGAUGGAGGGGGAUAACUACUGGAAACGGUAGCUAAUACCGCAUAACGUCGCAAGACCAAAGAGGGGGACCUUCGGGCCUCUUGCCAUCGGAUGUGCCCAGAUGGGAUUAGCUAGUAGGUGGGGUAACGGCUCACCUAGGAGACGAUCCCUAGCUGGUCUGAGAGGAUGACCAGCCACACUGGAACUGAGACACGGUCCAGACUCCGACGGGAGGCAGCAGUGGGGAAUAUUGCACAAUGGGCGCAAGCCUGAUGCAGCCAUGCCGCGUGUAUGAAGAAGGCCUUCGGGUUGUAAAGUACUUUCAGCGGGGAGGAAGGGAGUAAAGUUAAUACCUUUGCUCAUUGACGUUACCCGCAGAAGAAGCACCGGCUAACUCCGUG